rnacentral:rRNA from 2 species
GGGUGCGAUCAUACUAGCACUAGUACACUGGAUCUCAUUAGAUCUCUUAAGUUAAGCGUAUUUAGACAAUAAUAGUAUUAAGUUGGGUGACCAUUUAAAAAGUUCUCAUGUUGCACCAA